UGGGGGAUAUUGCACAAUGGGCGAAAGCCUGAUGCAGCGACGCCGCGUGGGGGAUGAAGGCCUUCGGGUUGUAAACUUCUUUUGCUCUGAACAAGGCAUGUUUUUGGGGUGUGUUGAGUGUAGGGGUUGAUUAGCGCCGGCUAACUACGUGCCAGCAGCCGCGGUAAUACGUAGGGCGCGAGCGUUGUCCGGAAUUAUUGGGCGUAAAGGGCUUGUAGGUGGCUGGUUGCGUCUGUCGUGAAAGCUCAUGGCUUAACUGUGGGUUUGCGGUGGGUACGGGCUGGCUUGAGUGCAGUAGGGGAGGCUGGAAUUCCUGGUGUAGCGGUGGAAUGCGCAGAUAUCAGGAGGAAUACCGGUGGCGAGGGCGGGUCUCUGGGCUGUUACUGACGCUGAGGAGCGAAAGCGUGGGGAGCGAACAGG
rnacentral:rRNA from 1 species